CCCCAUAUGGCAAUAAAUGCGUCUUACGGA
rnacentral:sRNA from 1 species